UGACCUCAAAUCAGGUAGGACUACCCGCUGAACUUAAGCAUAUCAAUAAGCGGAGGAAAAGAAACUAACAAGGAUUCCCCUAGUAACUGCGAGUGAAGCGGGAAAAGCUCAAAUUUAAAAUCUGUCAGUCUUUGGCUGUCCGAGUUGUAAUCUAGAGAAGUGUUAUCCGCGCUGGACCGUGUACAAGUCUCCUGGAAUGGAGCGUCAUAGAGGGUGAGAAUCCCGUCUUUGACACGGACUGCCAGGGCUUUGUGAUGCGCUCUCAAAGAGUCGAGUUGUUUGGGAAUGCAGCUCAAAAUGGGUGGUAAAUUCCAUCUAAAGCUAAAUAUUGGCGAGAGACCGAUAGCGAACAAGUACCGUGAGGGAAAGAUGAAAAGAACUUUGGAAAGAGAGUUAAACAGUACGUGAAAUUGCUGAAAGGGAAACGCUUGAAGUCAGUCGCGUUGUCCAGGGAUCAACCUUGCUUUUGCUUGGUGUAUUUUCUGGUUGACGGGUCAGCAUCAAUUUUGACUGUUGGAAAAAGAUCAGGGGAAUGUGGCAUCUUCGGAUGUGUUAUAGCCCUUGGUUGCAUACAACGGCUGGGAUUGAGGAACUCAGCACGCCGCAAGGCCGGGUAAAUUU
rnacentral:rRNA from 2 species